AUUGAACGCUGGCGGCAUGCUUUACACAUGCAAGUCGAACGGCAGCGCGGGCUUCGGCCUGGCUGCGAGUGGCGAACGGGUGUGUAAUGCAUCUGAACGUGCCCAGUAGUGGGGGAUAGCCCGGCGAAAGCCGGCUUAAUACCGCAUACGACCUGAUGGUGAAAGCGGGGGACCGAAAGUCCUCUCCCUAUUUUAUCGGCCGAUUUCGGAUUAGCGAGUUGGUGGGGUAAAGGCUUAACAAGGCGACGAUCCGUAGCUGGUCUGAGAGGACGACCAGCCAAAGUGGGAGUGAGACACGGCCCAGACUCCUACGGGAGGCAGCAGUGGGGAAUUUUGGACAAUGGGGGCAACCCUGAUCCAGCCAUGCCGCGGGCGGGAAGAAGGCCUGCGGGUUGUAAACCGCUUUUGUUCGGGAAGAAAUCCUAUGGGCUAAUACCCCGGGGGGAUGACGGUACCGGAAGAAUAAGCACCGGCUAACUACGUG
rnacentral:rRNA from 1 species